rnacentral:rRNA from 1 species
AAGAACGAACGCUGGCGGCGCGCCUAAUACAUGCAAGUCGAGCGAGAAGGUGUAGCACUACACUUGUAAAGCGGCGAACGGGUGAGGAAUGCAUGGGUAACCUACCCUCGAGUGGGGAAUAACUAGCCGAAAGGUUAGCUAAUACCGCAUACGUUCCGGAACUUCGGUUUCGGAAAGAAAGCAAUACCGUGGGUAUUGCGCUCCUGGAUGGGCUCAUGUCCUAUCAGCUUGUUGGUGAGGUAACGGCUCACCAAGGCUUCGACGGGUAGCUGGUCUGAGAGGACGAUCAGCCACACUGGCACUGCGACACGGGCCAGACUCCUACGGGAGGCAGCAGUAAGGAAUAUUGCGCAAUGGACGAAAGUCUGACGCAGCGACGCCGCGUGGGGGAUGAAGGUCUUCGGAUUGUAAACCCCUUUCGGGAGGGAAGAUGGAGUGGGUAACCACUUGGACGGUACCUCCAGAAGCAGCCACGGCUAACUUCGUG